rnacentral:rRNA from 1 species
UCCUACGGGAGGCAGCAGUGGGGAAUAUUGCACAAUGGGCGCAAGCCUGAUGCAGCCAUGCCGCGUGUAUGAAGAAGGCCUUCGGGUUGUAAAGUACUUUCAGCGAGGAGGAAGGCGAUUGAAGGGUAAUUAACUCAGCGAUGACGUACUCGCAGAA